UUCCUGCUCUUGAGAGUAAUACAACAUUCGCCAGCCCUUUCAACUUUAAUCUAUAUCAAUAUAAGUCAAAGAGAUUCCAUAUUAGCAAUAAUUCUCAUGUUUUAGUUACUUAAGCAUUUUCUUAAAUACUUAGUAACAUAAACUUCAUAAUCCUUGUUAAUGGUGUCUCUACACUCAAUAACCAAUCCUCUUGCUCCUAGAUAAAUUCUAAAGUCUCAAAUGGUUAUAAUCAACAUUAUUCUUUAUCACCCAUAAGGUACACAACACCCUUAAUCAAUAAUCAACCAUCAACACCCUAAACCUAUAACCGUUCAUGCUUUUCUAUCAAACCCAUCAAAUCAUAUCUCAUGAACUCGAGUUUAUAAUCAUUAAUCCAAUAGUAUAAUCAAUUAGAGGAUGAAGACAUUACCUUUUUAAAAUUCAGUUAUCUUGAAUUCCAGUUCUAGGGUUUCUUCUCUCAACAAUGAUGCCCCAGUCGAAUAUCUUAUGAUUUGGAGGGUUUACCCAUGUGAAUAAGAACUUGAGAAAUUGAAAUUAUCUUAGAAUUACCAUUAGAACUUACCUUGGAUGGUGGAGGGACCUUUAAGGAGUUAGUUUUUGAGGGUUCCCCUUUCUAGAGCAAGUUGUUAUGUUAUGGGGAUGUAGGGGAUGAAAUAUAGCUUUAAAAUGACCCCCCACAAGCGCGGUCACGCUCCUGGAGACCUGGCCGCGCUACGGUAGUAACACUGCCUCAAAAAAAGCUCGGUCGCGCUAGAGGCGCGCUACACGGCGCGCAUAUCGCAUAUUGUUCUAUAAAACAUGCAUAACUUUUUGCACAGAGAUCCGUUCAGGCUCUAUAAUAUAUCAUUGGAAAGCUAUUUCAAAGGCCUACAACUUUCAUGCUUUGAGUUUUCCCAAAUACUUACACAGUUUCACUAAACCUUGCUGGAAGAUAGACCUUCUGCAAACAUAGUCGAUUUUGUCAAAUCUUAUGCACCUCACUUUCCAUCUUGAUUUUGAAACAACUAUUUUACCAAUAAUAUUCCCAAUGGUACGUCACAUGUCCAAUAUAUAACCUUGCUACUCCUUUAACUCAUUCAUACCUAAGCCGAAUUUACAAGGUAUUACAUUAUCUUCCUCUUGGUGUCAUUCAUCCUCGAAUGACUUACUACUUUAACCCAUUCAUACCUAAGCCGAAUUUACGGGGAGUUACAUAUAUACAAGGGUUUGUGGGAGACGGGAAAUGUUUCUGAGGCUUCUUAUGAAGAGGCCCGGGUGAAGGCACGAGAGACUUGAGUCAACUGCGGCUACAACCCUGCGACACCGGAGGCCAACGAGGACGCUGUCGUUGAGGAGGAGUUUCUUGAGGACAAUGGUGGGGAGAACGGCGGUAAUAAUGCCGAAUGAAAAGUUGUUGAUGCGUUAAUAUUUUUUGUUCAUUUUCGUCUUUUUGUUGGGCCUGUUUUGGCCUUUUGUAAGGUGCAGCCCAUGCGCACGUAUAUAUAAAUAAAAAAGUUGUUUCGCCUUUGUAUGUCCUUUGAUUUUCUUUCCCUUCCCUUGCUUGUUACAUCUUUUUAUUUUGGCGUAGACCUUCGGAUUUUGUCCGGCGAGUCCCUGAAUUUUUGAUCUGGGAAUCCGGCCUUGACCGGGUCGAGUAGGGUCUCAUCGCGUGAGUCUGAAUGGAGCUGCUUCGGACUUACACAUUCGGGCGGGAUUGAUUUCUGAUUUGACGCUUUAGGCGGUAUCAAUUUUUUCAUAUGUACUCAAGCGGGGUCGAGUUUGGCGUCACCGCCUGGGGGGAGGCCCAGUCCUGACUUUAUUUGAACGAGUUCGAAUCUGAAGUCGUCGUUAUGGGUGAAGUCGAUUUCUGACCUGAACGAUUUCGACCUUUUCCUUAUAGUUGACUGUAGCCGGCGGCAGUAAAAGGUAUUGUCCCGUACGAGGUCGGACUGUGACCUUAUUUUGACAAUGGUUGGUGGCGGUAGAAGUGUUACUUUGAGUAUGAUCGGAAGUAAUCGAUUCGGUGAAAGCCAGUGGCUGUAGCGGUGUUAUUUCGCACUAUGGUAGAAAUGUUAACCCGUUGUAAUUCGAGCGAGGUCGAAUUCUUCUUUCGAGUCGUUUGCCGUAGGGGUGUUAUUUCGCACUAAGGUCGAAAUAUUAACCCGUUAUAAUUCGAGCGAGGCCGAAUUCUUCUUUUGGCGAUAGUCGUUAGGUGUUAUUUCGCACUAAGGUCGAAAUGUUAACCCGUUGUAAUUCGAGCAGGGUCAAAUUAUUCUUUGGUGAUGGUCGUUGGCCGUAGGGGUGUUACUUCGCACUAAGGUCGAAAUGUUAACUCGUUGUAAUUCCAGCGGGGUCGAAUUCUUUUUUUGGUGUUGGUUGUUGGCAGUACAGGUGUUGUUUCGCACUAAGUUUGAAAUGUUAACUCGUAAUUUGAGCGGGGUCGAAUUCUUUUUUUGACAAUAGCGUUGGCCGUAGGGAUGUUAUUUCGCACUAAGGACAAAAUGUUAACCCGUUGUAAUUCGAGCGGGGUCGAAUUCUUCUUUUGGCGAUCGCCUUUGGCCGUAGGGGUGUUGUUUCGAGUCGGUCAAAAUGUUAACCCAUUAUAAUUCGAGUAGGGUCGAAUGCUUCUUUUGGCAAUGGUCGUUGGCCGUAGGGGUGUUAUUUCGCACAAAGGUCAAAAUGUUAACCCGUUGUAAUUCGAGCGAGGUCAAAUUCUUCUUUUGGCGAUCGCCUUUGGUCGUAAGGGUGUUAUUUCGAGUCGGUCGAAAUGUUAACCCGUUGUCUCAUUGUCACUGAUUUUUGGAGGAAUUUACAGGUCGCCGUAAUGUUUAUGCGUAUGUCGGGGUGAGUCAUGCUUUUGCGUAGCUUCUACGUUUCUUAGGUGAGUCCCAGUUUGCUUUUGUGCGCUUCCUGGGUGAGUCCCAGUUUGCUUAGCUUCUGCGUUUCCUGGGUGAGUCCCAGUUUGCUUUUGUGCGCUUCCUGGGUGAGUCCCAUUUUUCUUAGUUUCGCUUCCAAUCGGAGAAUACCUUGGUGGAGAGUACAAAAUGUUGCCCUAUUUCAUUCACCGGAGAAUAAUAUACAUGUUUACUUCAUACAUAUAUUGGAGAAGUUUCCAUGUAUCCAGUCCCUUUAUCGUUCGACCUGGAGAAGCAGUUGGAAGGCAGGGCAAUGAAUCAUACUUGAACUUCGAGAUGUCGCCUCGUUAGAAAUCUCCCCGGGAAGACCAAAUUGGGACAAAACCCGGAUGAGGGAGAAAGGAUACGACUUGAGGGGUGUUCUUUUGCAGAAGUUGAAGUAUUUUAGGUGGGCGACAAUCCAAUUGUUUUGCGGUAAUUUUCCCUCAAUUGUUUCUAGUUGGAACGCACACUUGCUCACGCGAGUGCUCGCAUUCCUGUUUGAACUAACAAAAGAGUGAAGAUGAACCCGAAUGAAAUUUUUUGUUACCUCGACCCGACGAGUCAGUGAAAAGAGUGGCGUUGUGAUAUUACUCGCUACGCCUGGUGCUCAAAUGGUGGUUUUAGAAUUGGCAGCCGCAUUCGGCUCCGCCGUUAACAGCAUCUAGGCUUCGCAUGGGUUGGGCUCACCUCACUCGCUUAAGUGUUGAAAUCGAGUCCAGGUCCGAUCUCGUCCAAUUUGUAUCAACAACAAGGGAAACAUGUCAUACUUCGUUUAUACACCAUCUAAUGUAUGGGGGAAUGUAAAAAUAGGCAGGAUAUGCCCAUUCUUUUGAAAGGCCGCGCAACAAGCUGACGUCCUCUCCUAAGGGGAGUGAAUGUGGGUCAAUAUAUAUGGUAAAUACGUCAAAUAGGGAUGUGGUCAUGCCAAAUGACCGUGAUUCUAUUUUGAACGUGCAUUCGUCGUGCCAAACCUAUCGUUACAGGGAAGACGUGGAUUUUGUAUAGACAUUGGUUAUAACGUCUACUUUAUGUAGCAACCUGACCUAGAUCGGUACGGUUGUCUCGAAGGCUUACUUACCGCUCUUUCGAGUGGGUAGUGACAUUUCGCAGGCUUUGAAUCUAAAGGAAACUAAGAAAUCUCCACAGACGGCGCCAGAGUCUUUGACCAAAAAGUAUAAAACCCUUUUGUCGAACUAAUUAUCAGAGAUAUAGAAAGGUAAAUCUUAGCCAAACAUAAUAAUCUCAACAAAUAUAUUGAGUACAAACAUCGAGGAAGAAUAAAAGAACGUAUAACAUUUCUUAAGAUAAUUAUCAUACAACAAGUAUGGAUGAUAGGCUUACAUCUGUAACAGGUAUGUAUCAUAACCGUAGAGACAAAGAAGGAGAAGAGAGGUAAUUGUCAAUGACCAAGAGAUUUCUCCUGUUGAUUCCAGGAGGCAGUUAUCGAAGCAUCUCCCUUCAAUUGGGCUCAACUUCCCCUAUAUAUAUUGAUCAUUUCCUUUUUUCCAAUGGUCUUUGACCAGCGUACUUUCUUAUGUUUGUACCAUUCAUCGCACGCCCAACACUACGCUUGUUCUGCGAUACAAGCUUUUCGACAGUUUGACCCCAGCAAUGGCCAAGGUGUUCUUGGCCAUCACGCCCACGGGGCGUGAUUACUGUUUGGUCGACCCUUUGUUGUUCCUCUGAAGGAGAAGAGACGGAAUUGUCAAUGACCAAGAGAUUUCUCCUAUUGAUUCCAUAAGGGCAGUUAUCGAAGCAUCCCCCUUCAUUUGGGCUCAACUUCCCCUAUAUAUAUUGGCAAGUUUUCCUUUUUUCCAAUGGUCUUUGACCAACGUACUUUUUUUAUGUCUGUACCAUUCAUCGCUCGCCCCAACACUACGCUUGUUCUGCGAUAUAAGCUUUCCGACAAUUUGACCCCAGCAAUGGCCGAGGUAUUCUUGGCUAUCACGCCCCGUGGGCGUGAUUACGGUUUGGUCGACCCCUUGUCGUUCCCCUUAAGAACAACCGUCGUAUAGUUAGAUUUUGACCCAUACAACUUGCAUCAUUAUAAUUGACAUCUCCUAGAUGUCCUUCAGAGGACGAAGAAUUUUGCCUCAUCCUGAUCGGUCUACAAAUUCUUAAGCUUCAGAACACAAGCACAAAAGGUGGCUUGUUACUAUUUAUCUUAUUCCAGAUUUCCAGCAAAAAGGUGUCUUGUUACUACAAGUGACCAAAAUCCAUUUCCUUUUGAUGAGUUGCUAGGUAAGGCAGGGGCUUGGCUUCAUAAGCUAGCCCCUUUUAUUGGGUUCCAGAAAGGCACACCAAGCUAUUAAAGCUUUGUCCAGAGCUUCAUUCAAGAAAAUGUACAUGACCAGAAUCCGUGUACUAUACAAGAUGUGCUUGAAAAUGGAUUUGAAACAAAAAGAUGUUUGCUAACGAUCCUAUUUCCCCCAAAAUGUUGAACAGAUUAACUCAUCAAUUGGAAAACUGGGCGACAAGGUUAGCACAUUAACCAAGACAGGCACAACAAAUACAGAUGGUCAAACAAACUCAGCUGGAGUUAAGAGCUAAAAGCAUGCUUUUCAAACAUUUAUCAGAAAACGCAGAGAAUUCCCUGGUUUGGAUAGCUGCAUCAUUCUCCGAAUUUUAAAGAAUAUGUAGAGUCAGUCUUUUAACAUGGAGCAGUGGGGCUAGAGAAAGUUAAAUCCUAAAAGUCAAACACAUCGAAGUAGCAGCCAAAGACUGAGAUUUGCAACCUUCACAAUCUGUUCGCCAUCUAGAAAAUAGCUCUAUUACAAUAUCAUAUAGCGUUGAGGUCACACUGACCUACAUUAUUAUCAUUUAUGCUUCAACGAUCAUAAGUACUUCAUCUUUUACAACGAUAAUUAUGUUUUCUAACCUCUUCAGUUUUUUGCAGAUUAAAGUUGUUCUGAACUGCUAACCUAAAGCUUUAUGUGUCAAGGUAAAAUAGGCAUUAAAUUGGCUUCAGUCCAUGUGCUAGGCCUUAGGCUGUUCAGAGGAACCAAAAGAAAAUCCACAGGCAGAGGCUGCCUAAUGCUAUUGGUAGAGAUGGUGUAGAAACUGAAGUUGUUUAGCCUAAACAGUCAUCUCGAGGAUGCUGCUCAACAUUCUCUAGGAUUCAACAGGCUUGUGCUGGCAUCAGGAGUCGGAAAAAAUCAAAUAACAUGAACCCAGCAAGUGAAGGAAGAGAGCACAAUUGCUUUUGGUGUUUUCCAGAAUAGAAGGCAAGGCAUCCUAGAACAUUCUAGGGGAAGUAGGAGAUGGAGAAAGUUGAGGAAGCAUACAAAGGUCCUUUCAUCCUUUAUAAAUGUGUGUAGCUAAGUCAGUCAAAAAACCAAUUGCGAGAAGAGAUAAAGUCAAACUACAUUUAGUCGCAGUCACCAAUUUUGAGGUACAAAACAAAUUAAGAAAAUACUUCGUGUUCAAAUAAAUAUUACUCCAUUCAAGUGUGACCUUACUUUAAACAUUAAUAUACAUAAAGAUAAAGAGCAAACUAAAGAACAGUAGAAAAUUUAGUUACCAUGCCAGUAGCUUUACAAAGAGGAACUAGAUAGUUAAGCUACGUGAAGGGGUAGCUGCAUUUUCAAUUAUCAGCCGCAAUUUGAGGAUAGAAAAGAUGUAAAAGGGUGCUGCUAGUAGCUCCAGUAUACAAGCAAAGCCUGCACAAUAGGAAAAAUACAAUAUUAAAGGACACGAAAAAUAGUACAACUCAUCAAACUUCCAACUAGAAAAUGUUAUUUGCUAAACAAAAGAACUUAAAUGCCCAAUAAGCCACUAUAUUGGUCUCACGGAGUGAUCACAAGUCCAACAUUCACUAUUCUGAAGUCUCACACCUUCAUUCCAGAUGUAGGUAGAACAAGCAAUUUAAUACCGGCCAAAGCUAUAUUACUUUCACAUUGAAGCCAAAGACAAACAGAUACAGCCAAUGUUCACAGCAAUGGGCCCUCUUCAAAAGUCAAAAUCAGAUGCACCCAUGGAGUACUGCGUUCUCCCCCACCAAGUUGAUAACCAGCUUGCAAGAAUGUGCGCAUGGCACAAUAGUUUAAAAGGUUUGAACAUCAAUGUUUAAGCUUACCAUUUAUCCAUGUGCAUUACUGUGUACAGUAACUUAGCCCCUGCCACUACAUAACAAGAAGACAUCCUACAAGUUUGACAACUACUCCCAACCGGUAGGCCAUCCAAGCUACUCAAGGGUUUUGCAGCAUCUCUCCUUGAAGAUCCAUCACUGCAAGGUAAUAAGAGCGAUAUCUUUAAACUUCAAACCAAUGACGAAAGAUGUUUUUAUAUAAAGAUACCACCUACCUAAGACAUAGAUAAAGCCAGAAACACAUAUAUGGCAACUUGGUCUUAAGUACUUUUCUUCGUGGAAGAAGACAAUCUUAAACAAGAUAAACUACACUCAAUAUUCACUACUUAGGGGCUUGUCCGCUCUUUGUUGUUCAAGUUCUCAGCAAUGUGAUCUUCACUUUAUAUUCAGAUAAUCAAGAUUUGGUUUCCUAUAUAUUCUAUUUACAUUACCCUUUUGUAGCACACAAUUGUUUAAGAUUUUAAGAUCUUGAACACCUAACAUAUUCUAAUUUCUUAUCCAAGAUGUCUUCAAAAUCCUCGCAAAUUUACAAAGUUCUCUAAGAAAUAAAAAGUUCUGAUCUGGAGGUUAUCUUGAUGCAAUUUCAAAGCGAAAAUCAAGCAUGAUUAAAGUCUUAAGAACAGAACUUCAUUUCUUUUAUACUUUGACAGACAUCGAUUGGGAUUAUGUCAUCACAUUAUAGAAAUGUUUGUAAUUUCAUAAGAAGAAUGGUGUCAAAAGAAGAACUUACUUACUAUGGCCAUGCAAACAUUACUACAAGAAAGAACAGUAAAUCCACACUGGCAGAUAAAAAGAUGCUUUAAAACAUGAAAUUAAAAAGAAGAAAGGGAGCAAAAGUGGCUUGACAAUAAUCAUUCAAAAAUACCACUAAAUAUCAGUCCUCAUGUAAACUUCGACCAAGAAGAACCACACAAGUAAUGAACAGGCAAAAUUGUACAGCAUACAACUGCAUAAUGUGCAAAAGCAAUGUUAACAGCAUUUAUUAUAGUCUUAGUAAAGUUAGCAUACCCCAUGAAUCAAAUUAACAUCUACACACUUAUGUAGCAUCUUUCUACCUAUCUAUCAUACUGAUACAGCAGCUGUCAGAAUAUAUUGUGAAUUUAUUUCUUAGUCCCUGCUUUAAUCAUGGGGAACCAAUCAAAGUGGACAUCUACAAGGGCCUAGAAACUUCUUAAGUUUAAUACUACUGAAAGAAACACAGAUUUCUAUUUCGAUAUUAUGGAUAAUAAUCACAUCAUAUAUAUCCUCAACCAAAUGAAAAGCUGAUGCGUUCAGGGGAAAAAACACUUGUACUAAUUUCUCUAGCAUGAAAUGUGAAGGAGAAAUUACAUGGAUAAGAAGAAGAAAACAAAUGCAAAUCCCAAUAGAGGAAAGGCAAAAAAACACUAUGCUUGAUCAAUAAUGGUAACAGGUAACCCGUGAAAUUAAUAGAAAUCACCGUAAGCUGACUCAGCCAUUCCAGCUAUCAAGAAAGAAAAAGAAGACAAAUGCAACAUCAACAACAACACACUAGUGAGGUCUGGUAGGGUAGUCUGUACGUGAUUUUGAAAUAGACCCGGCAUCCUUCCCCAAAAACUUACCACCUUGGCUGAAUGCAACUCACGACCUCGAUUGGAACUGGGCUGCUCUCUUGUCAAAAAGAAGACAAAUGCAAAGAUUGGAAAAAGGAGAGGGGUCAAUCAGAAAAUUACAGCAUAGUGUUUUUCUCAGUGAGGUGUCGGACGAUUCAAAAAUGGAAUACGGAGUGCCCCUUGAUAGGAACUGACUAGCUACACUACAUACAUAACUG
rnacentral:lncRNA from 1 species